rnacentral:rRNA from 1 species
GAUGAACGCUGGCGGCGUGCCUAAUACAUGCAAGUCGAGCGAAGCGGGGACGGGUGAGUAACACGUGGAUAACCUCCUAUAAGACUGGGAUAACUUCGGGAAACCGGAGCUAAACCGGAGACUUAUAGAUGGAUCCGCUCUGCAGUAGCUAGGUGGUAAGGUAACGGCUUAGCAAGGCAACGAUGCAUCGCCGACCUGAAAGAGUGAGCGUCCACACUAGAAAUUAGACGGGGGUCAGAGGCCUACGGGGAAGCGCAGUAGGAAAUCUUCAGCAAUGGGAGAAAGCCUGACGGCACAACGCCGCGUGAGUGAUGAAGGUCUUCGGAUCGUAAAACUCGAUUAUUAGGGAAGCGGUGCCUAAUCAGAAAGCCACGGCGAACUACGUGCCAGCAGCCGCGGUAAUUC